rnacentral:pre_miRNA from 1 species
GAGGGGAGAGCUGGAUCCCUGGCUGUGUCCCCCGGCGCCCUGGGCUCUGCGGCCUGCACCACUGGAAUCGCGCUCUCGGCUGCAGCCCCCU